UAUGUGCUGGCUCAGUGGUAGAGCACUUGCUUCACAUAUAUGAGGCACUGGGUUCAAUCCUCAGCACCACAUAA
rnacentral:tRNA from 1 species